AUUGAACGCUGGCGGCAUGCCUUACACAUGCAAGUCGAACGGCAGCACGGGAGCAAUCCUGGUGGCGAGUGGCGAACGGGUGAGUAAAGUAUCGGAACGUGCCCAGUCGUGGGGGAUAACGUAGCGAAAGUUACGCUAAUACCGCAUACGAUCUAUGGAUGAAAGCGGGGGAUCGCAAGACCUCGCGCGAUUGGAACGGCCGAUAUCAGAUUAGGGAGUUGGGGGGGUAAAGGCCCACCAAGCGGACGAUCUGGAGCUGGUCUAGGAGGACGACCAGCCACACUGGCACUGAGACACGGCCCAGACGCCUACGGGAGGCAGCAGUGGGGAAUUUUGGACAAUGGGCGAAAGCCUGAUCCAGCCAUGCCGCGUGCAGGAUGAAGGCCUUCGGGUUGUAAACUGCUUUUGUACGGAACGAAAAGGUUUGGCCUAAUAAGCUGAGCUCAUGACGGUACCGUAAGAAUAAGCACCGGCUAACUACGUGCCAGCAGCCGCAGUAA
rnacentral:rRNA from 1 species